rnacentral:rRNA from 1 species
GACAGAGGGUGCAAACGUUGUUCGGAAUUACUGGGCGUAAAGCGCGUGUAGGCGGCUAAGUAAGUCGGGCGUGAAAUCCCACGGCUCAACCGUGGAAGUGCAUCCGAAACUGGCGAGCUAGAGUACGAAAGAGGAUCGCGGAAUUCCCGGUGUAGAGGUGAAAUUCGUAGAUAUCGGAAGGAACACCUGUGGCGAAAGCGGCUCACUGGACCAUUACUGACGCUGAGGCACGAAAGCUAGGGGAGCAAACAGG